CACACACAGACACACUGUAUUCAAUCUGCACUGUUGUUAGCUUUAUCCCCACGCUGGGUUUGAUCCAAUGAUUUGUACGCUGUCGAACCUGGGCACAGUCUCAGCAGCAUCCAGAGAUUAUACCAAAUAUAAGGAGGAGCUGUUUUCUCUCCACAUGCAAGAUGCGACGGCCACUUUUUCCUCCAAUCCAAAGUGUUUCUGUAAACAAUGCUACCCCCAAACUGCUGCUGCUGCUGUGGUGGAAUGUUGACAGCUCUGGAUUACAGUCAAGGCUGUUCAGUCGCUUCAUGGGGAACAAUGAUAUUAUCACACUCUGUGCCAAAUUUGGUAAGUUCUAUUGUGUGUGGAUGAGUCAAGUUGUCCAAAACAAAAGUAGCAGAUGAAUUGAAAACUGAAGAAUCUGGGACAAAUCUGUCCGUGAUGUUAGCUUUCCAGACUGUGCCCAAACGAGUGUCGUUUCCAACAUUAGAUUAUGAAAUACAAUAGUGAGCAUUAAAACAAUGAGAUGUUAAGGGCGAUGUUCUAUUAUAUAGCAUUAGGUUUUCCCAGACUUUAUUAUGAUAAUUAAAAAAUUCAGAGGUAUAUCUGAGGCGGAGGAAAUCUGCCUUUGUCCUGGACAUGGUAUUUUUAAUUUAUUUUGUUUUUUCUUUCCGCUUCCCUCUGAAGAGAAACAUAUUUGGCAUUGUUAAGAAUGUCAGCAGCAUUACACUUUUCCUCUAACCACAGAGCAUUUCAGACUCGCUUGAUUUCUGCUGAUGUUAUUUAACUGCCAUGCUGGGUCAAGCACUAGGCCACAUACUGUACGGUAGCAUUCCCUUCUAACCUCACGUGCGUUCGGCUCAAACACUGUGUCCAUUGCUUAAGACUGUGUUCUGUAACAGCUGCAAGAGUAGCUGCCUCAAACAUUCCUCCUCGGUAAACAUGGGUGGGGCCCACAGUUCACCCAAGGGCUUGUUCUAUGAUUAUUAUUAUUAUUUUUGUGUCUCUAGCAGGAACUCUGUACACAAGCCAUAGAACGCACUGAUGCUCCUAAUGUCUCCUUUGCAAAGAAUAAAAUAUUUUUUAAAAACA
ensembl:lncRNA